UUGUAUCUGAUAUGUGUCCAAGUCGUCCAUAUGAUAUCCUACGUGCCGAGCAUGGGCACACGAGAAGCCUUGCUAUCUGACACUCGACCGGUUUCGGGCAGUCUCUGAGGAGUUUCGAGCGAGUUAUCAACUCGUGGAAAGGAGCCUCUACAUGUCGCGUGCCCCCUCAAUCAAAAACACAUGCGACACACAACGUAAAUGCGUCAAGUAAUAAAAAAAAAAAAAAAUAACAAUAAAAAAAUUUUUUGUUGCGUUAACGGUGCUUUGGGGACAACGUUCGAUAAAUGCGGCAGAGGGUAUGUAGAGGUUCCCGCCGGUUAGCUGAGGACUUAUAAUCGCGAUAACAGGAAACGAGAUUUUGUUGCCCAGUGCAAUGAAAGCGCAGAGCUGCGUACUGCAUACCUGGGUCAUUAUUAACGCUGCUUGUUUGCUUUCACGCUGCGCUGCGGAUUAACUGGGCAAUGGAUAGCAGGAACGUAUCAGAGAAGGUGCCGGCUUUUGAAGAGCCCUUAUGCCAGCCAGCCAAGAGGAACGAGAUCACUGCAUGCCCGACAAGAAAAUUCAAGGCACCCGAAAACUCUACAGCAGAACAGGAGUCAGGCAAAGGAAGGCAACAGCCUCCCCCUGAAAAUCAAUCCAAGAAAUGAGCGAAGACCAUUCUUACAGAUAGAAUCUUCACAAUUCAAAGGUCUGCACAUCUGAAACCAUUUGCUCAAAGCCACAUUAAAUUCUACCAGCAACCUU